UAAUGCUUGGGAAUAUGCCUUAUGGUGGGGGACAACAGUUGGAAACGACUGCUAAUACCGCAUAACGUCUACGGACCAAAGGGGGGGAUCUUCGGACCUCUCGCCAUUUGAUUAGCCCAAGUGAGAUUAGCUAGUUGGUAAGGUAAAGGCUUACCAAGGCGACGAUCUCUAGCUGGUUUGAGAGGAUGAUCAGCCACACUGGAACUGAGACACGGUCCAGACUCCUACGGGAGGCAGCAGUGGGGAAUAUUGCACAAUGGGGGAAACCCUGAUGCAGCCAUGCCGCGUGUGUGAAGAAGGCCUUCGGGUUGUAAAGCACUUUCAGCGAGGAGGAAAGGAGUAUGUUUAAUAAACGUGCUCUGUGACGUUAC
rnacentral:rRNA from 1 species